AGCAGCCGCGGUAAUUCCAGCUCCAAUAGCGUAUAUUAAAGUUGUUGCAGUUAAAAAGCUCGUAGUUGAAUUUCGGGAUUGGCGCAUCGGUCGUGCCUCACGGGGUAUGAACUGGUGCAGUCAAUUUCUCACCUUCUGGAAAACCGCGAUGUCCUUAAUUGGGUGCCGCGGGGAACCAGGACCUUUACUUUGAAAAAAUUAGAGUGUUUAAAGCAGGCAUUUUUGCUUGAAUACAUUAGCAUGGAAUAAUAAAAUAGGACGGCAUGGUUCUAUUUUGUUGGUUUCUAGGACCACCGUAAUGAUUAAUAGGGAUAGUUGGGGGCAUUAGUAUUCAAUUGUCAGAGGUGAAAUUCUUGGAUUUAUUGAAGACUAACUACUGCGAAAGCAUUUGCCAAGGAUGUUUUCAUUAAUCAAGAACGAAAGUUAGGGGAUCGAAGACGAUCAGAUACCGUCGUAGUCUUAACCAUAAACUAUGCCGACUAGGAAUCAGACGAUGUUAAUUUUUUAAUGACUCGUUUGG
rnacentral:rRNA from 1 species